rnacentral:rRNA from 1 species
GACGAACGCUGGCGGCGUGCUUAACGCAUGCAAGUCGAACGGAAAGGCCCUGCUUUUGUGGGGUGCUCGAGUGGCGAACGGGUGAGUAACACGUGAGUAACCUGCCCUUGACUUUGGGAUAACUUCAGGAAACUGGGGCUAAUACCGGAUAGGAGCUCCUGCUGCAUGGUGGGGGUUGGAAAGUUUCGGCGGUUGGGGAUGGACUCGCGGCUUAUCAGCUUGUUGGUGGGGUAGUGGCUUACCAAGGCUUUGACGGGUAGCCGGCCUGAGAGGGUGACCGGCCACAUUGGGACUGAGAUACGGCCCAGACUCCUACGGGAGGCAGCAGUGGGGAAUAUUGCACAAUGGGCGGAAGCCUGAUGCAGCAACGCCGCAUGCGGGAUGACGGCCUUCGGGUUGUAAACCGCUUUCGCCUGUGACGAAGCGUGAGUGACGGUAAUGGGUAAAGAAGCACCGGCUAACUACGUG